UACGGAGGGAGCUAGCGUUGUUCGGAAUUACUGGGCGUAAAGCGCACGUAGGCGGCUUUGUAAGUUAGGGGUGAAAGCCCGGGGCUCAACUCCGGAAUUGCCUUUAAGACUGCAUCGCUUGAAUCCGGGAGAGGUGAGUGGAAUUCCGAGUGUAGAGGUGAAAUUCGUAGAUAUUCGGAAGAACACCAGUGGCGAAGGCGACUUACUGGACACAUAUUGACGCUGAGGUGCGAAAGCGUGGGGAGCAAACAGG
rnacentral:rRNA from 1 species